rnacentral:rRNA from 1 species
AACGUAGGAGACGAACGUUAUCCGGAGUUACUGGGCGUAAAGGGCGUGCAGGCGGCUUGAUAAGUUCGGCGUGAAAUUUCCCGGCUUAACCGGGGGAUGUCGUCGGAGACUGUCGAGCUAGAGGGUGAUAGAGGCGUGUGGAAUUCCCGGUGUAGUGGUGGAAUGCGUAGAUAUCGGGAGGAACACCAGUGGCGAAGGCGGUUACCUGGAGCUUUGCUGACGCUGAUGCGCGAAAGCGUGGGGAGCGAUCCGG